UACGUAGGGGGCAAGCGUUGUCCGGAAUCAUUGGGCGUAAAGCGCGUGUAGGCGGCCCGGUAAGUCCGCUGUGAAAGUCCAGGGCUCAACCCUGGAAUGCCGGUGGAUACUGUCGGGCUCGAGUCCGGAAGAGGCGAGUGGAAUUCCUGGUGUAGCGGUGAAAUGCGCAGAUAUCAGGAGGAACACCAAUGGCGAAGGCAGCUCGCUGGGACGGUACUGACGCUGAGGAGCGAAAGCGUGGGGAGCAAACAGG
rnacentral:rRNA from 1 species